CUGGACACUGCUCAGUGAAAAUUGUGUAGUGAUGUGAUGUUAGGAAACUACAGAUACCUGUUGGUUUUGUGUAAUUUGUACAACCAAAGUCUUUCACCAAAGCUAGCCAUAGAAGGUUAAUUUCAAAAAGUAAUACUGGGAAAAUAUGCAAGCUGUGGCCUCAAAAAUUUACAUUGUAAAAAACUGGGAAAGAUUAGGUGAAGAUGAAGAGAAGAAAUAAUACCAUAAUACAUAUUAUCAAUUUGUCCCAAUUCUCAUAACAAAAAUUUAAGUGCCAAAGGAUAUCAGGAACACAGAAUAUUUUAGAAAAAAAACUCAAUUUAUUUUGGCUACUUUUAAAGAACCACGUGUUUCUAUAAACAUGUAUCAACAUCAUUUUUGAAAUACACCUAUCAUAAUAAAAUUAGCAAAAAAGGAAACCUUUAUGGCUCAAACAUUGAUAAACACCAAAGUACUAAUUUUCCAAAGAAUUAUUACAAUUGCAAUAAUUCAUAAAAUUAUUUUGUUAGAUCUCAAAACUUAUUAUCUAUCAGUGUAUUCAUCUUUAAGAGAAGCCUUAAAAUAGUAAUGAGAAAUCUUUUAACUGGCACUCAAUCCUUAAACAACAUCAAAAAAUCCAUAUAGGUGAGAAAUUACAAAUGUAAAAAAUGUUGCAGGUCUUUAUCCAGUAUGCUCACCUUACAUGAUGUCAGAGAAUCUGUACUGGUAAGAAAUGCUGCAAAUUUACAGAACGUGGCAAAGCCUUUAACUGUUUCUUAAACCUUAUAUAUAAGAGAAUUUAUGCUGGAAAGAAGCUCUACAAAUGUAAAAAAGUAUAGUAAAGCCUUCAACAACUUUUAAAAUUCUAGUGUACAUCAGAAAAUUUGUAAUGGAGAGAAACCACCCAAAUGUAAAAAUUGUGUCAAAUAUGCUAGCAGUAUGCACACCUUACAGAACCUCAGAGAAUGCAUAGUACACCUUACACAGUAUCAGAGAAUGUAUACAGGAGGAAAGCCCUAUAAAUGUGUAUAAAGUUGCAUAGCUUUUAACACACGUUCAAAUUCUACUCAGAAUCAGAUAAUUUAUUUUAAAAAGAAAUACAACAAAUGUAAUGAAUGU
rnacentral:lncRNA from 1 species